rnacentral:rRNA from 1 species
CAGUCGCCACGGGAAUACGUAGGGUGCAAGCGUUAAUCGGAAUUACUGGGCGUAAAGCGUGCGUAGGCGGUUCGUUAAGUCUGUUGUGAAAGCCCCGGGCUCAACCUGGGAAUGGCAAUGGAUACUGGCGAGCUAGAGUGUGUCAGAGGAUGGUGGAAUUCCCGGUGUAGCGGUGAAAUGCGUAGAGAUCGGGAGGAACAUCAGUGGCGAAGGCGGCCAUCUGGGACAACACUGACGCUGAGGCACGAAAGCGUGGGGAGCAAACAGGAUUAGAUACCCCUGUAGUCCCUGUCUCUUAUAC